CACUGCAAUUGCUAUGCUAGAUGUGGUAUUUCUGCCAGAACAGAUAAACUUGGCCUCGGGUAUGUGGUACAAAGCCUUUGGUCUGGAAAAUGUGUUCUUUUUCACCCUUUUCAGAAAAGAGGAACAGAAACAAUUAGCAUUCCCUUGGAAGUGACAAUAGUGUACGUUUGCAGUCUUGCCCCAGGGUUAUGUUAACACUUUCUCCCUCUGUCAAAGAAAUCUGGACUGGCGGCACAUCCUGAAGAAUAUUCUGCUGGCACAUGAUACUGAUAACAUCACACUAAUGGAGCCAAAUAAACCAGAAAUGACAACUAUGUUGGAGGCUUUAGUAAGACAAACAUGCUCCAGAGGGUGAGAGGCCAGCAAAAUUUCACGGGUCUGCUGCAUCUCUGACGUUUCUAAAAGUCCUAUCAUUGAAGAAUGCUGGGCCAACCUCUUCAAGCAAAAACACAAAUUAUUGCCCCUCCCAUCUGCUCCUACAAAGAAGGAAGCAUAAUACCUGGUAAGCCUCUUUGAGUUUUGGAGGCAGAAUAUGCCACAGCUGGGAAUAUUACUCUGACCCCCCCCCACCCACAUACACAUGAAAAGCUGCCAAAUGUGAUUAUGAAAUAGAAGGGAAGGGGGCAGGGCACAACCUUUAAAAGAAUAACAGAGACAUUGAGGCUAUGAUAUAAACUGGUUAGAACCAAUUAGGCCCAAGCUGGCAGAAAAAUCCACUUCCAGUGGACCUUGAGCCUCAUUAUAUGCUCAUUGUAACACGCCAGCAUAUACUAAGUGACACGCCCACAGGUGCCAAGACAGACCAUAAAAGGCCAAAAGUGGGCAGUGGCCCAAUUUGCUGGAAGUGUCCACCCCUUCUCUAAAAUAGGAGCUAGGCAGAGUAGACCAUGCUUGUAUACUGAUUAGAUUGGAGAAGAGAGAAAUAGAAGGAAUGAUUCAUGAAGCAGGAUGUCUAAGAAGAUGGAAAAAAUGGGAUGGAUGCAAGUUUCUGCUUCUCCCACUCAGGUGCAAACUCCACAAUAGCAAAGACUACGACAGUUUUGCUAAGAAAUUCUGUAUCUUAGAAGAUCCUCAAGAAAUAUUUUGAGUAAAUAAGUAAGUAUAAAUAGCACUAGUUUUAUGGGGUUAAGGAUCUGGCGUCACUGCUGUGGCUCUGGUUACAGCUGUAGUGUG
rnacentral:lncRNA from 1 species